rnacentral:rRNA from 1 species
AUGAACGCUAGCGACAGGCCUAACACAUGCAAGUCGAGGGGCAGCACAAGGAGCAAUCUGAGGUGGCGACCGGCGCACGGGUGAGUAACACGUAUGCAACCUGCCUGUAAGCGGGGAAUAACCCGUUGAAAGACGGACUAAUACCGCAUAAUACUAAAUUACUGCAUGGUAAUUUAUUUUAAACAUUUAUGGCUUACAGAUGGGCAUGCGGGCAUGAUUAGCUAGUUGGAGAGGUAACGGCUCCCCAAGGCAACGAUCAUUAGGGGUUCUGAGAGGAAGGUCCCCCACACUGGUACUGAGACACGGACCAGACUCCUACGGGAGGCAGCAGUGAGGAAUAUUGGUCAAUGGACGAGAGUCUGAACCAGCCAAGUCGCGUGCAGGAAGAAUGUCCCUAUGGAUUGUAAACUGCUUUUGCAGGGGAAUAAAGUGCAUCACGUGUGAUGUUUUGUAUGUACUCUGCGAAUAAGGAUCGGCUAACUCCGUGCCAGCCGCCGC